rnacentral:rRNA from 1 species
AUGGGCUCGUUGCCGGAGCAGCAGCAGGUCGUCUUCCGCUCGACGCUGCCGGACAUCGCCAUCCCGGACCACCUCCCGCUGCACGACUACGUCUUCGAGCGCCUGGCCGAGCGCCGCGACCGCGCCUGCCUCAUCGACGGCGCCACGGGCGAGACGCUCACGGUCGGCGACGUGCACCGCCUGUCCCGGCGCGUGGCGGCGGGGCUGUACUCCCUCGGCGUCCGCCACGGCAGCACGGUGAUGCUGCUCCUUCCCAACUGCGUCGAGUUCGCGCUGGCCUUCCUCGCCGCGUCCCGCCUCGGCGCGGCCACCACCACGGCGAACCCGCUCCACACCCCGCCCGAGAUCGCCAAGCAGGCCGCGGCGUCCCGCGCCACCCUCGUGGUGACCGAGCCGGCGUUCGUCGCCAAGGUGCGGGGCCUCGCGGGCGUCACCGUCGUCGCCACGGGCGACGGCGCCGAGGGCUGCGCCUCGUUCGCCGACCUCGCGGCCGCCGACGACUCGGCGCUGCCGGAGGCGCCCAUCGACGUGGCCAACGACGUGGUGGCGCUGCCCUACUCGUCGGGCACCACGGGGCUCCCCAAGGGCGUCAUGCUGUCGCACCGCGGGCUGGUCACCAGCGUCGCGCAGCUCGUCGACGGCGACAACCCCAACCUCCACCUCCGGGAGGACGACGUCGUCCUCUGCGUGCUCCCCAUGUUCCACGUCUACUCGCUGCACUCCAUCCUGCUCUGCGGGCUGCGCGCCGGCGCCGCCCUCGUCGUCAUGAAGCGCUUCGACACGGUCAAGAUGAUGGAGCUGGUGGAGCGCCACGGCAUCACCAUCGCGCCGCUCGUGCCGCCCAUCGUCGUCGAGAUGGCCAAGGGAGACGCGCUGGACCGCCACGACCUCUCCUCCGUGCGCAUGGUCAUCUCCGGCGCCGCGCCCAUGGGCAAGGAGCUGCAGGACAUCAUCCACGCCAAGCUCCCCAAUGCCGUGCUCGGACAGGGCUAUGGGAUGACAGAGGCAGGUCCGGUGCUGUCGAUGUGCAUGGCGUUCGCCAAGGAGCCGUCGCCGGUGAAGUCCGGCGCCUGCGGCACGGUGGUAAGGAACGCGGAGCUCAAGAUCGUCGACCCAGAGACCGGUCUGUGCCUCGGGCGCAACCAGCCCGGGGAGAUUUGCAUCAGGGGGAGGCAGAUCAUGAAAGGGUACCUCGACAACCCGGAGGCGACGGCGGAGACCGUGGACAAGGACGGGUGGCUGCACACCGGCGACGUCGGGUUCGUGGACGCCGACGACGAGAUCUUCAUCGUGGACCGGCUCAAGGAGCUCAUCAAGUACAAGGGCUUCCAGGUGGCGCCCGCGGAGCUCGAGGCCAUGCUCAUCGCCCACCCCGGCAUCGCCGACGCCGCCGUCGUCCCGAUGAAGGAUGAUGCCAGCGGCGAGGUCCCGGUGGCGUUCGUCGUGCCGUCGCCGGACGGCGCCGACAUGACCGAGGACGAGAUCAAGCAGUACGUGGCGAAGCAGGUGGUGUUCUACAAGAGGCUGCAGAAGGUCUUCUUCGUGAGCUCCAUCCCCAAGGCGCCGUCGGGGAAGAUUCUGAGAAAGGACCUCCGAGCGAAGCUGGCCGCCGGAUCGUGCUGA